rnacentral:rRNA from 1 species
UGGGGAAUUUUGGACAAUGGGCGCAAGCCUGAUCCAGCCAUGCCGCGUGCGGGAAGAAGGCCUUCGGGUUGUAAACCGCUUUUGUCAGGGAAGAAAUCUUCUGGGUUAAUACCUCGGGAGGAUGACGGUACCUGAAGAAUAAGCACCGGCUAACUACGUGCCAGCAGCCGCGGUAAUACGUAGGGUGCAAGCGUUAAUCGGAAUUACUGGGCGUAAAGCGUGCGCAGGCGGUUAUGCAAGACAGAUGUGAAAUCCCCGGGCUCAACCUGGGAACUGCAUUUGUGACUGCAUAGCUAGAGUGCGGCAGAGGGGGAUGGAAUUCCGCGUGUAGCAGUGAAAUGCGUAGAUAUGCGGAGGAACACCGAUGGCGAAGGCAAUCCCCUGGGCCUGCACUGACGCUCAUGCACGAAAGCGUGGGGAGCAAACAGGAUUAGAUACCCUGGUAGUCCACGCCCUAAACGAUGUCAACUGGUUGUUGGGAAGGUUCCUUCUCAGUAACGUAGCUAACGCGUGAAGUUGACCGCCUGGGGAGUACGGCCGCAAGGUUG